rnacentral:misc_RNA from 1 species
GAUGAAGAACGCAGCGAAAUGCGAUAAGUAAUGUGAAUUGCAGAAUUCAGUGAAUCUUCGAAUCUUUGAACGCACAUUGCGCCCGCCAGUAUUCUGGCGGGCAUGCCUGUUCGAGCGUCAUUUCAACCAUCAAGCCCCAGGCUUGUGUUGGGGACCUGCGGCUGCCGCAGGCCCUGAAAACCAGUGGCGGGCUCGCUGUCACACCGGGCGUAGUAGAUUUUAUCUCGCUCAGGGCGUGCUGCGGGUUCCGGCCGUUAAAAAGCCUUUUUUACCCAAGGUUGACCUCGGAUCAGGUAGGAAUACCCGCUGAACUUAAGCAUAUCAAUAAGCGGAGGA